CGAGUUGAUUCAACCAAGUAUCCAUAUCCCAAAGUCAUAUCAAUCACUCAAAUCAAAACAUGUGUUUAAAGAGAAGCCCCGUCUAAACAAACUCUGUUUACGGCUCUCAUGUUCCGGGGCUUAUCCUGUUAGCAAUUUAGGCACCUCUGGUACUGUAGAGCAUGGGGUCGUUUGAAUUGAAUUGGGCACGGAGGGCAGCUCUAAUCUCUAUAUGUAUCGCUCGCUCUAUAUAGUGUAUAUCCCGUCAUGCUUACUAAAUUUAUGCUGUAAGCGUUAUCAGACGUAAUCAAUGGCUGUGACUGUGACGUAUCUGGGGUAUGACAAGUGCGAUAUGAGCUCAUGGAUAUGUACAGUGAAAACUAAGUUGACGGAGAGCUGAAAAUUCCAGACAGCAACUACUGUACCAUAAUUUACUAUAUAUACUAUAAAAUAAAUUCAGAAACUUUUCAAUUUAUGAAAAUUAUUAAACUUCUAA